UAGGGAAUCUUCCGCAAUGGACGCAAGUCUGACGGAGCAACGCCGCGUGAGUGAAGAAGGAUUUCGGUUCGUAAAACUCUGUUGUUAGAGAAGAACAGCGCAUAGAGUAACUGUUAUGCGUGUGACGGUAUCUAACCAGAAAGCCACGGCUAACUACGUGCCAGCAGCCGCGGUAAUACGUAGGUGGCAAGCGUUGUCCGGAUUUAUUGGGCGUAAAGCGAGCGCAGGCGGUCAAUUAAGUCUGAUGUGAAAGCCCCCGGCUCAACCGGGGAGGGUCAUUGGAAACUGGUUGACUUGAGUGCAGAAGAGGAGAGUGGAAUUCCAUGUGUAGCGGUGAAAUGCGUAGAUAUAUGGAGGAACACCAGUGGCGAAGGCGACUCUCUGGUCUGUAACUGACGCUGAGGCUCGAAAGCGUGGGUAGCAACAGG
rnacentral:rRNA from 1 species